rnacentral:rRNA from 1 species
UGGGGGAUAUUGGACAAUGGGGGAAACCCUGAUCCAGCGAUGCCGCGUGAGGGAAGAAGGUUUUCGGAUUGUAAACCUCUGUGGAGGGGGACGAUAAUGACGGUACCCCUUUAGGAAGCCACGGCUAACUACGUGCCAGCAGCCGCGGUAAUACGUAGGUGGCGAGCGUUGUCCGGAAUUACUGGGUGUAAAGGGAGUGUAGGCGGGAAAGCAAGUCAGAAGUGAAAACUAUGGGCUUAACCUAUAGCCUGCUUUUGAAACUGUUUUUCUUGAGUGAAGUAGAGGCAAGCGGAAUUCCUAGUGUAGCGGUGAAAUGCGUAGAUAUUAGGAGGAACACCAGUGGCGAAGGCGGCUUGCUGGGCUUUUACUGACGCUGAGGCUCGAAAGCGUGGGGAGCAAA